rnacentral:rRNA from 1 species
AUUGAACGCUGGCGGCAGGCUUAACACAUGCAAGUCGAACGAGUGGCGGACGGGUGAGUAAUGCUUGGGAACCUACCUGAUGGAGGGGGAUAACUACUGGAAACGGUAGCUAAUACCGCCUACCAUCGGAUGUGCCCAGGUGGGAUUAGCUAGUUGGUGGGGUAAAGGCUCACCUAGCCGACGAUCCCUAGCUGGUCUGAGAGGAUGACCAGCCACACUGGAACUGAGACACGGCCCAGACUCCUACGGGAGGCAGCAGUGGGGAAUAUUGCACAAUGGGAGCAAGCCUGACGCAGCCAUGCCGCGUGAAUGAAGAAGGCCUUCGGGUUGUAAAGUUCUUUCAGUGGGGAGGCGUUACCUGCAGAAGAAGCACCGGCUAACUCCGUGCCAGCAGCCGCGGUAAUAC